rnacentral:rRNA from 1 species
UGCUCCCUAGGGGGGCAGCAGUAGGGAAUAUUGCUCAAUGGGGGAAACCCUGAAGCAGCAACGCCGCGUGGAGGAUGAAGGUUUUCGGAUUGUAAACUCCUUUUGACAGGGAAGAGUAGAAGACGGUACCUGUCGAAUAAGCCACGGCUAACUACGUGCCAGCAGCCGCGGUAAUACGUAGGUGGCAAGCGUUGUCCGGAUUUACUGGGUGUAAAGGGCGUGUAGCCGGGUUGACAAGUCAGAUGUGAAAUCCUGCGGCUUAACCGCAGAACUGCAUUUGAAACUGUUGAUCUUGAGUACUGGAG